GGGCGCACUGUCCCCCGCUCCAUUGCGGCCGAUAUAGCUCGGCCAUCUGCCCGUCUCCCCGCUCCCCUCUCUAUCCCACGCACUCCGGCCGGCUUCAGUUCACUCCAGUGCCUUCCAGACCCUUCCAGAGAGCUACCCGGGGAACAUAAUUAUGUCAUGCUUUUCGUGCUGUGGCGAGGAAGAUACUAGUCAAGUUAUUGAUAACAAAGGGGGUCCAUUUAAACCAAAUCAUCCCACAGGUACUGAUGGAGCUUAUCAUCCCAUGGAUCCUGCCCCCAAGUCUGUGAAGGUUCAGCCUAUUGCAGUCCCUACCAUAUCUGUAGAUGAGUUAAG
rnacentral:misc_RNA from 1 species